GACGUAGGGGGCCAGCGUUGUUCGGAAUUACUGGGUGUAAAGGGUUCGUAGGCGGUGUGGCAAGUCGGGAGUGAAAUCUCUGGGCUCAACUCAGAGACUGCUUCCGAAACUGCUGUGCUGGAGUGUGGGAGAGGCGCGUGGAAUUGCAGGUGUAGCGGUGAAAUGCGUAGAUAUCUGCAGGAACACCCGUGGCGAAAGCGGCGCGCUGGACCACUACUGACGCUGAGGCGCGAAAGCUAGGGGAGCAAACAGG
rnacentral:rRNA from 1 species